rnacentral:rRNA from 1 species
GUGUCAGCCGCCGCGGUAAUACGGAGGGGGCCAGCGUUGUUCGGAAUCAUUGGGCGUAAAGGGCGCGUAGGCGGCCGGGUAAGUCUGACGUGAAAUCCCUUGGCUCAACCAAGGAAUUGCGUCUUAAACUGCUCGGCUUGAGUCCGGGAGAGGGUAGUGGAAUUCCCAGUGUAGCGGUGAAAUGCGUAGAUAUUGGGAGGAACACCGGUGGCGAAGGCGGCUACCUGGACCGGUACUGACGCUGAGGCGCGAAAGCUAGGGUAGCAAACAGGAUUAGAAACCCCUGUAGUCC